AAAUAAGAAACAAAACUUUGUAUUUAGUUUCGACCUAAAAUUCUGAUGUUAAAUCAUCCUUAUUUU
rnacentral:tRNA from 1 species